GACGCGAGCAGACCUAAGUUGAUGGUUGUAUGAAACCAGGUGAAUAGUUAAGUGGGCAUUGUCCCGGUGUUAGGUCUGCUCACAUCAGCAACCUAAGUUGAUGGUUGUGUGAAACCAGGUGAAGAGCUAAGUGGGCAUUGUCCCGGUGUUUGUUUUUAUUUUGCAUUCAGUGUUUUGUUUGUUUGUGUUGUCUGUUAAACCUGCUGGUAACUUAUAAGAAAAUAAAAAAAAUAAAACAUUUUGGAGCUAUGUGCUGUGGGUCAGGAAGCAGAAGGUGAGAGCAGGGUGCAAGAUGCAUAACUUGCAGAAGUAUGUGCUGGCUCGGGAUGCAGGGAGGAAGGAUGAGCCAGUUCAUCGUCUCCCACAUCCAGGCGCUGCUGCAUCUUUGGACCCUGCUGGUACAUCUGAUGCUGACCUUUCUGCCACUGCAAUGGAGGUCGACUCGUUUUGUCAGGGACACCCCAUCAGCUGUGCCCCCCCCCUCUCUCGCCGUACCCCCGCAGACACCGGUAUUUCAUCCUGCCACGGCCAUGAAUCUGGCUCGGCCUGAUGUGCCGCAGUCAGUCUCCGGCAUACAGCUGCUGCCUCGGGCUGAGAAGGCACCCUGUGAGGGUCAUCGUGCGGCGUGGCUUCAUGAGCUGUCUCUGUGCUUUCCUGCAGGACGCAGUCGGGCCAGACGGUCACGGCGGCUACCAUCUCGUCGUGGCCCUGGCACACGCCCUCGUGGACCUGCGUCACCGCACCUUUGUAACCCAACGGCAGGCCAGAGAAAUUAUCGCUCUCUGGCAGAAACUGUCUGACCGGGACAAGGCAGCGGUGUUCCCCUCCCGCUACCUUCUUAAGACGAGCCAUCCAGCCAGUGUGAGGCGUGCUGUCCUGGGCCAGGGCGCGGGGCCGGCACAUUCUCCCAAGACCAGCAGACUUAUGGAGGCCAUCCUGCUGGAACUGUGCCGCACGCACCUCCACGACCGGACUACGAUCGCCGGGGUCUGCAUCCGUUGCUGGGGUGCCGUCAUGAGGGACUACAGAAUAAUCAAGAACAAUCUCUACACCAAUCCUACCCUCGUGGCGAGCACCCGCAUCCAGCUUUUCGUCAUUAGCCAACUGACCCUUACGCAAUGGCACAAUCAGAGGAACCAGGCGAUGAUGAGGGACACCAUCACCAUGGCAAUACCGGGGCCCAGCGCAUCCCUGACAGCAGCAGAGCCCCUGUCUGCCCCACGUACCCUGCUGCAGCGGCCCGAGCAGCCAGACCAGCCUUCCCAACACCGCCUGCCCGCGGAUGCCUCUGGUCUGGCUUCCACCAUCAGAGGGCCGCUGGCCCCGGAGCUGUAUGCCCUCAUCAUCGCCCGUGCUGGCUUAUCCUCCUCCUCAGCCUCAGCAACCCUGUCCACCAACGCUGGUGCCAUGAGCGCCCCCUCCACAGCCACCACUGCUCCAUCUGCCAGCUCCUCCGCCCCUGCUGGAGCAGUUCCACGCUCCACCGCCUGGAGGUGGAAGGUCCAGCAGGAGAAGGAGCGUUGUGCCUGGGAGGAAGGCAAAGACAUUAAAGACUACAAGAAGGCCUCCCACUUCACCUGCAGGCUCUGUGGCCAACCAAAGACUAGACAAUAUGGCCACAGCCGCUACAGGAGGGAGGUCUUCUGCACCCGGGCCGACGGGAGGACUGUGGAGCAGUGGCUGGCGGACAAAAAACGGCAGGAGGGGGCAGCUCAACCCCCCCUCCCCCCUAGAUAUGUAAAUAGUGUAAAUAGUUAGUGUAAAUAGUUAGUGUG
ensembl:lncRNA